GCCCCCUUAGCUCAGCUGGUUAGAGCAAAGGACUCAUAAUCCUUGGGUCGUCAGUUCAAGUCUGACAGGGGGCACAA
rnacentral:tRNA from 1 species